GCGGAUAUGAUGAAAUUGGUAAACAUACACGUUUGAGGGGCGUGUGGCAAAUUUUUGCUUUAUGGGUUCAAAUCCCAUUAUCCGCA
rnacentral:tRNA from 1 species